rnacentral:tRNA from 1 species
GAUUGUUUAGGUUAAAUAAACCAUAUAAAUUGCUAUUAUAAAAUAUUCAAUCA